rnacentral:misc_RNA from 1 species
AACUUCCAACAACGGAUCUCUUGGUUCUGGCAGCGAUGAAGAACGCAACGAAAUGCGAUAAGUAAUGUGAAUUGCAGAAUUCAGUGAAUCAUCGAAUCUUUGAACGCACAUUGCGCCCCCUGGUAUUCCGGGGGGCAUGCCUGUUCGAGCGUCAUUACAACCCUCAAGCUCUGCUUGGUAUUGGGCCCCGCCAGUUCUGGCGGGCCCUAAAGUCAGUGGCGGUGCCAUCCGGCUCCGAGCGUAGUAAUUCUUCUCGCUCUGGAGACCCGGUUGUGUGCUUGCCAGCAACCCCCAAUUUUUUAAGGUUGACCUCGGAUCAGGUAGGGAUACCCGCUGAACUUAAGCAUAUCAAUAAGCGGAGGCU